rnacentral:rRNA from 1 species
GGAGUCAGACUGCACGAGAUAAGUUGGGCAGUCAAAAGGGAAAGAGCCCAGACCUGCUGCUAAGGUCCCAAAGUACGUGUUAAGUGGAAAAGGAUGUGGGAUUUCGAAGACAACUAGGAUGUUGGCUCAGAAGCAGCCACACAUUCAAAGAGUGCGUAAUAGCUCACUAGUCGAGAGGUCCUGCGCCGAAAAUGUCCGGGGCUGAAACACGACACCGAAGCUUAGGAAUCACAUAGUGAUUGGUAGAGGAGCAUUCUUAAAACCGACGAAGCUGUACCGGAAGGAGCAGUGGAGGGAUAAGAAGAGAGAAUGCCGGAAUGAGUAGCGAGAGAGAGGUGGGAAUCCUCUCGGCCGAAUAUCCAAGGUUUCCAGGGUAAAGCUGAUCUGCCCUGGGUAAGUCGGGGCCUAAGGAGAGGCAGAAAUGCGUAUCCGAUGGACAGCAGGUUGAGAUUCCUGCACUAUCUUAAAACAGAACUGUGGGGACAUUUGUGGAGAGCACAGGCGCGGAACGGAAAGCCGCGUGCAAGCGAAGGAGGAGUCACAUAGGAAAAACCGUGUGGCAAUCCAAAGGCGUGAUGCGGACCGAACUAAAGUAGGGAAGUGUGUGAGCCAUGAAUCAAGAAAAGCCGCUAUUGUUUUUAAGAUACCCGUACCGUAAACCGACACAGGUGGAUGAGGAGAGAAUCCUAAGGCCGGCGGAAGAAGCAUUGUUAAGGAACUCGGCAAAAUGACCCCGUAACUUCGGGAGAAGGGGUGCCACAGAAAUGUGGCCGCAGAGAAUAGGCUCAAGCAACUGUUUAGCAAAAACACAGGUCUAUGCAAAACCGUAAGGUGAGGUAUAUGGGCUGACGCCUGCCCGGUGCUGGAAGGUUAAGAGGAGAGGUUAGCGCAAGCGAAGCUUUGAAUUUAAGCCCCAGUAAACGGCGGCCGUAACAAUAACGGUCCUAAGGUAGCGAAAUUCCUUGUCGGGUAAGUUCCGACCCGCACGAAAGGCGUAAUGAUUUGAGCGCUGUCUCGACAAUGCAUCCGGUGAAAUUGAAGUACCAGUGAAGAUGCUGGUUACCUGCGCCAGGACGGAAAGACCCCAUGGAGCUUUACUCCAGUUUGGUACUGGGAUCCGGUACUGCAUGUACAGGAUAGGUGGGAGGCUAUGAAAUGGUAACGCCAGUUGCCAUGGAGCCGCUGUUGGGAUACCACCCUUGCAGUAUUGGGUUUCUAACCAGCCGCCGUGACCCGGCGGUGGGACAAUGCCAGACGGGGAGUUUGACUGGGGCGGUCGCCUCCGAAAGGGUAUCGGAGGCGCCCAAAGGUUCCCUCAGAAUGG